rnacentral:lncRNA from 1 species
GAGAUCCUUAGGGAACUCUAACGCACCUAGACAAUGAUAUUGUCUAUGGAUCUGCCAUCUAAGCUAUUGGAGGUUCGAGAAAUCACUUGGGACUACUUUAGACUCUCUAUAGUGUAACUUCUUCUUUUUCUUUUAUCUAUUUAUGUGAUUUAUUCAUCUGGUUUGAAAUAAUUAUUUGUGAACUAAUAUUGGAUUGAUUAGUGAAAAUGGGUGGG